CACGGAGUUAGCCGGUGCUUAUUCCUUGGGUACCGUCAUAAUUCUUUCCCAAGAAAAGGAGUUUACGCUCCGAAAAGUGUCAUCCUCCACGCGGCGUUGCUGCUUCAGGGUUUCCCCCAUUGAGCAAUAUUCCCUACUGCUACCUCCCGUAGGAGUCUGGACCGUGUCUCAGUUCCAGUGUGACUGAUCAUCCUCUCAGACCAGUUACGCGUCAUAGCCUUGGUAAGCCGUUACUUACCAACUAGCUGAUACGAUAUAGCCCUAUCCAUUACCGAAAAACUUUCCCGUACUACUUAUAUAGAUACGGAGUAUAAGGUAUUAGCAGUCGUUUCCAACUGUUGUCCCUUAGUAAUGGGCAAGUUAGCUAUAUAUUACUCACCCGUGCGCCACUAAGAUUAAAUAGCAAGCUACUUAAUCUCCGUUCGACUUGCAUGUAUUAGGCACGCCGCCAGCGUUCACUCUGAGCCAGGAUCAAAACUC
rnacentral:rRNA from 1 species